ACAUGUCUGUUUGAGAUAUAAAUGGUCUGACCUGCUCACUGAUAUUUUAUUUAAGAGCCGCGGUAUCUUGACCGUGCAAAGGUAGCAUAAUCAUUAGUUUUUUAAUUGGGAACUGGUAUGAAAGGUUGGACAAAAGAAAAGCUGUCUUUAUGGUAUAAAUUGAAAUUUACUUUUAAGUGAAAAGGCUUAAAUAUUUCAAAGGGACGAUAAGACCCUAUAAAGCUUUAUAUGUUGUUAAAAUUUAGUUGAGUAAUUAGGUUUUUAUUAUAUUUUAUUGGGGCGAUGUGAGUAUAAUUUUUAUUAACUGCUUAAAGAAAAUACAAUUAUAGAUGAAAUUGAUCCUUUAGAGAUUAAAGACUAAGUUACUUUAGGGAUAACAGCGUUAUUUAUUUUGAGAGCCCAUAUCGAAAAAUAAGUUUGCGACCUCGAUGUUGAAUUAAAAUGUCUAUAUAAUGCAGCCGUUAUAAGAGAAGGUCUGUUCGACCUUUAAAUUUUUACGUGA
rnacentral:rRNA from 1 species